rnacentral:lncRNA from 1 species
GGGGACUUAGAAGACCAACUCUCACUAAAGCUCUCAGAUCUAGCCAUUAAAGGGUAAAAAGAAGAAGAAGAGAGAGAUAGACUAAAAAAACUGACAAAACCAAAAGAAGGGGGAGAAAUUGAAAAUCGAUAGGAGAACGAAGAGACCCACCUAUGAUGGUGUGGGAGACAAGGAUAGUUAACUGGAGGAAGUCAUCAGAGGAAGCUACUGGCAACCCAAGG